rnacentral:misc_RNA from 1 species
CUUCUCUUUUUUUAACGAACCCUCUCCAGAGGCACGUUUCUCUCUCCCCCUCAUCACCAUCGCCGACCGCCGCCAGCACUACACGCGUACACAUAAUGGUAUUUUUCUCCACCUACCGCAGCAAGCGCAUCGUUGCGCCGGGCUUUCUCAAGGGCCCCGUGAUGGCCUCGCGCGCCUUCUGUGACUACUACUUCCAGCGCGCGUGGAGCGGCUGCGUGCAGUGGGCGAUCCCGGGCGAGGUGCGCUUCUGGGCGUGCGGCGUUCCCGUCAUUUACUUCAUUCACCGCUACCACAAUGACCACUCGCUGGAGCCCGACUUUGUGGAGAAGGCCAUGAUUCAGCGCUGGGGUGGUUCGCUGGAGGAAGUGCGCAAGCUAUCGCCGCAGGAUCAGCUCCGCAUCCGUGUCUUUACGGACAUAGAGAAGCUGUACUCCGCCUACGGCCCCAAGGAAACCAUCAUCCAGCCGCCAGGUGACCUCCUGCCCGGAAAGGACUACUACCACAAGAGCGGUGCCGCUGGUGUCCACCACUAAGCACAAACUGAAGAAGCGGCAGUACAUACACAGGCGGCACCAAAAAUACCCAAGAGAGUGGGUGUAGCCGUGUUGUGUUGAGUCCAUCUACAUCCUCGUAUCCAUCGUCGCCCUCCCUCACCCUCUCCCACCGUUCACCUCGCCACGGUAUCGUGGUUGCUGGUGCUCCAUUAUCUUUGUUAGCGCAGCCCGCUGCGCAGCGGUGGCACAGAGAGAAGCAACAGACAGGCGCGCGCGUCGAUGGGUAUGUCAGUGGGUGGGAAAGUAUGGGGGAGGAGGGGCGCAGGUGCUGGAGAGGAGUGGAGCAGCGCCCCGACGAGUAUCCAGAUGAAGGUCCCUCGAGCAAGCAACACUGGAUGUGUGUACGUUUGUGCGCAUACUUCGUUGUCUUCUUCGGAUAGUAUGGUUAACAAAAUUACGUAGGAAGAUCAUCCUGAAGGACAUCAGCCGCAGCAGCAGCAUUGGCAAUGGCAGAAGAAGAACGAUGUGCCACAUGCCGUUGCGCUGAACCCUCUCAGCGCUGAUCUCUUGAUUGGACUGCAUGUGUGCGUGCGUGUGUGUGUGUGUGUGUGUGUGUGUGUGUGUGUGCCUGGCAUAACGUUUCUUAAUCCGUCAGCCGUAGGUGCAAGGCUGCGUGCCACACGUGUGCACGAGGAGCAACUUUUGCGCACACGGAAGCGCACGCACGUCGUGG